UACUAGUGAUUCAAAAUCCAGCUGUUUACC
rnacentral:piRNA from 1 species